CAGCGCCACAAGUGGCAGCCGUGUAUUUGGCCUAAAGCGUCCGUAGCUGGUUGAGUAAAUCUUUUGUGAAAUCGUUACUGUUAACGUAACGGCAUGCAGAAGACACUGCUCAGCUCGAGACCGGGAGGAGUCAGAGGUAUUCUUGGGGGAGCGGUAAAAUGCUAUAAUCCCCAGAGGACCACCAGUGGCGAAGGCGUCUGACUAGAACGGAUCCGACGGUAAGGGACGAAACCCUGGGGCGCGAACCGGAUUAGAUACCCGAGUAGUCC
rnacentral:rRNA from 1 species